UACGGGGGGGGCAAGCGUUGUUCGGAAUUACUGGGCGUAAAGGGCUCGUAGGCGGCCAACUAAGUCAGACGUGAAAUCCCCAGGCUCAACCUGGGAACUGCGUCGGAUACUGGAUGGCUUGAAUUCGGGAGAGGGAUGCAGAAUUCCAGGUGUAGCGGUGAAAUGCGUAGAUAUCUGGAGGAACACCGGUGGCGAAGGCGGCAUCCUGGACCGGCAUUGACGCUGAGGCGCGAAAGCCAGGGGAGCAAACGGG
rnacentral:rRNA from 1 species